CCUACGGGAGGCAGCAGUGAGGAAUAUUGGUCAAUGGACGAGAGUCUGAACCAGCCAAGUAGCGUGCAGGAUGACUGCCCUAUGGGUUGUAAACUUCUUUUAUAUGGGAAUAAAAUGUUCCACGUGUGGGAUUUUGUAUGUACCAUAUGAAUAAGGAUCGGCUAACUCCGUGCCAGCAGCCGCGGUAAUACGGAGGAUCCGAGCGUUAUCCGGAUUUAUUGGGUUUAAAGGGAGCGUAGGUGGUAUGUUAAGUGAGUUGUGAAAGUUUGCGGCUCAACCGUAAAAUUGCAGUUGAAACUGGCAGUCUUGAGUACAGUAGAGGUGGGCGGAAUUCGUGGUGUAGCGGUGAAAUGCUUAGAUAUGACGAAGAACUCCGAUUGCGAAGGCAGUUCACUGGACUGCAACUGACACUGAGGCUCGAAAGUGUGGGUAUCAAACAGGAUUAGAUACCCGAGUAGUC
rnacentral:rRNA from 1 species